GAUGAACGCUAGCGGCAGGCCUAACACACGCAAGUCGAGGGGUAGAGUUAGCUUGCUAACUUGAGACCGGCGCACGGGUGCGUAACGCGUAUGCAAUCUGCCUUGUACUGAGGGAUAGCCCAGAGAAAUUUGGAUUAAUACCUCAUAGCAUUAUGAAAUCGCAUGGUUUUAUAAUUAAAGUUCCAACGGUACAAGAUGAGCAUGCGUCCCAUUAGUUAGUUGGUAAGGUAACGGCUUACCAAGACAAUGAUGGGUAGGGGUCCUGAGAGGGAGAUCCCCCACACUGGUACUGAGACACGGACCAGACUCCUACGGGAGGCAGCAGUGAGGAAUAUUGGUCAAUGGGCGCAAGCCUGAACCAGCCAUGCCGCGUGCAGGAUGACGGUCCUAUGGAUUGUAAACUGCUUUUGUACGGGAAGAAACACUCCUACGUGUAGGAACUUGACGGUACCGUAAGAAUAAGGAUCGGCUAACUCCGUGCCAGCAGCCGCAGUAAAAC
rnacentral:rRNA from 1 species